UCAAUAAUAUUAUUAGUAUAUUUAUAGAUAAAUUAAUAACUCGAUUAAUAUAACUUAUUAUAUAUUAAUAUACGUUUACAAAAAUAUAAGUAUAUUAAUUAAAAAUAUACACAUCUUAUCUAAUAUAUUUAUAUUUUUGUAAAAGUAUAUUAAUAUAUACUGAGUUAUAUUUAUCAAAUUAUUAGUUUAUCUAUAAAUAUACUAAAAAUAUUAUUGA
rnacentral:miRNA from 1 species